rnacentral:snRNA from 1 species
CUCACAUCUCGGCCUUUUGGCUAAGAUCAAAGUGUAGUAUCUGUUUUCUUUGAUGUAGAUUCACCAGUUUUCAAAAAUGUAUACCGGACAACAUCAGUCGACACCAAAGAAAUACUAAAUAGAUAUGAUCACAUUUCAUAAAUUGUUCAUCCAGAGAGACUGCUCCUACUUGUAGAAAUAGUAAUCAUUUUAAUUGAUUAGUAAUUAGUGUUCCAAUU